rnacentral:lncRNA from 1 species
UGCACCACUCCUCGCUCCCGAUCGUCCACCAUAGCUCGCAAAUUCCCGUUUUCCCCCAAAUCAGCCAACAACACCGCCGUGAGGCAUCUCACUGUGGCCAGCCGAUCUCAGGUCCGUUUGUGUCCCUCUUAUCCAUGUUUCUGCCUCCUCUGACGCUAGUGAAGCUCUCCGUCUCGGCCGAUUGAACGCUACCGCACCGUAGCAUAGGGAAUGUCGCAUUAAUGUCCAGGAACGCCGCCGCGGACAUAGCUCACGUCGACCGACCGUUCCUGGUAAUCUCUAUCCAAAAUUGCGUGAGCACCAUAGCCCUAGUAGGUCACUAGUUGGUGCUGCAUCCUUGAAUUAAGCUAGACCGGUUUGGGUAGGCCAGUACCAGCAUGUCAACGAUCCAGUUCUGCCAUUGCCGCAGACAACUAGGUGUUAGCGACGCUCGGGUCAAAUUGAGCGCAUAAAUAUGUUCGGGUCGCAUCCAUGGGGGUGUCCGAGCGCUCGCCACCACAAGAAUGGGUCACCACCGGCGAGAACAGGCGAUUCCGUCUGGGUAUUCGCGUGUUCUAUGACCAGGGUCCUGAAUCGUGAAGAAACAGAAAUAGGAGGGCCUAUCUGCGAUUGUCAGUGAGAAAUCGGAAUAGUGUUCAGGGGCUCUUUACCGGUUAUUCAUUUGGCCAGGUACCUUUGCGCAAAACCAAUCCCGCGGGUGUGUUUCCCUGUUCGCGGGCCGACUCGGGCUAAUUUGAGCCCAUCACUACUCAUUCUUUUUCCUUUUCUUUUUACUGCCAGAUUAGGAAAUUUGUAGAAAAUAGUAGAAAAUUGGUAAAAUCAUGAGACCAAUUUUGCUAGACUCUUAAAAUCACAUAGUAUUUAAGAAAAAUAGUUCCAAUAUUUUUAUCCCAAACCUGGAAAUAUUUAACAUUUAAAGAUGUUCAAACCAAGCCUUUUAGAAUUUUAUAAAUAAUUUAGUAACUCCAAAAAUUGUGAAAUUUUUUGCGUAGGCUUAGUAUGAUAAUUGAUGAUCUUGGAUGAAGUUUGAAAUGUUUUGGACAUUGUUUGGUCAAAAACCCAAUUACUAACCUCCUAGGGUUAAGUUACUUAAUACUAAUAGAAUGAUAGGUUAGGAAACCCUAGUGAUUAGCUUGUACCGUGAAGGAAAGUUGUAUUCAAGAUACAACUUAGAAGAUACAACUUAGUAUGUUUCUAUUGUGCAACUGCAUAUUCAUGACAUCGCAUAAAUAUUCAUGUACAUGUAUUGUCAUGUAUAGAACACGAGGAAGAAACCAUGGUAGAAAAAGAAGUUGUCUCCCAAGCUGAAAAUCCUCCAGCCGAGAACAACUUUUACUUCGACAUCUACAGAGUGGACCCUGAACCUCCUGCAACACAAGGCAAGCCCCGGUGCAUUAUCCCUUUCCUUGCUGCUUUAAAACGUUAUCACCUUAUUUGAUGCAUUAGGUGAUAGGAGUUGUGUGUCAAACAAUUGAUGUAUUUCUUUCCAUAGAAAAUUGAUUACCAUUCCUUGAUUCCCUUUUAUGAAAAUGAUUUUUAUGAUGCUUAGUCUUGCUUUAGAAAAACAAAUGUUUUGUUUUAAGGCAAAAGGUGAUGCUUCACCCUGGAUGGGAAUUUUUACAAAGAAAAUACUUGUGAUGAGGAAUCCAUCAUGGCCGUGAUGGUUUCAACAACAGAAAAGAAGUACCUCUGUCAGGUACCAAACUUUGGGAUCUUAAAUGAUAAAAACGAGACCGGGCUGUGACUUGCACAAGAAGGAAGUCUCGGUGUAGUGUCUCCGUCUAAGUCGUUUAAGGAUCGAGCCAAUGUAGGCUUGAUGAUCGAGGACCUUUUAACUGGCCAUAUGCCUCAUCAUUAGUAAGCUUUGCCUCGGUCGGACCAAUACCAGAAAGGCUACCACACAAUGGGAGUGGAGAGAUGGCGAGAGUAGCGUGUACCCUUCGUGGCAAGAGGCUGGACGGUGGAGUAUAUGUGCUCUCAGUUGGCGUGAACCCAUUCUGGUCUUGAGAAACCUGGUGGCGAGUUGACAUAUGCAAGGGUUAAGUAAGUGCUACAUAUGUCGUGUGGUUGGAGAUCGUCGUUACUUCUCGGACAUGAAGACUUGGUCACUGACCUACAUGUAGCAAACAAGUGAACUGAAGGGGUGAUAAAAGAAGGCUAGUAUAGGCCAAGUGUUUGAUCUAGGAUAGAAAGGACUCUAGAUGCAGGUAACUACUUAACUUGAUAAUUAAAAAUGGAUUUUUAAGGAUCCACGGAUAGUAAGCUUUUCUGCAAAAAGAGUCUUUGAAUCUUGAAAGGCUUUACCUUGAUUCCCAAAAGCCAGCAUAUCCUUGAGAGUCUUUUCCUUUGACGGGUAAGACUUGCAAAAGUACACUCCGUACUCAGGGUUUUUGAACCCAUGUUGUUGUAGGUGAUGAAACGACGGAGUUCUGCUGUUUCUGUUCCAAGGUGGUUCCCAAGCAGGAGGAUGAACACUAAGCCUUAUUUGGGGAGAGUGUUUUGCCUCCUAGUGAUGUAAUAAUAAGUACGCACUCAAGUACUCGGAUAUGUAAUAACUACUCUUUCUAUAUUUUAUAUGAAUGUAAAUUAUGUUAUUGUAAUCAUGUCCGCUUAUUCUCUACUCCGAUGGUGUGUAAUGUCUGUGUGAUGGGUUAAGCGCUCUUGGGCAAUAUGAUGGAGAUACAGAUAACUGAGCUUGCCGAGUUAUUAUACACACCAGCAUGAUUGUCUGAGGUCCUCAGGACAAGGACAUUUGUAGGUGGGCCUAAUACCUUGGGAGGUUCCAUCACAGCUGGUAUCAGAGCGAAGCCCAUAUCUUCGGACAUUACUUAAUGCUUCAAAAGAUUUUAAAAAUA